GACGAACGCUGGCGGCGCGCCUAACACAUGCAAGUCGAACGGAGCUUAGAGAGCUUGCUUUUUAAGCUUAGUGGCGAACGGGUGAGUAACGCGUGAGUAACCUGCCCUGGAGUGGGGGACAACAGUUGGAAACGACUGCUAAUACCGCAUAAGCCCACGGUACCGCAUGGUACUGAGGGAAAAGGAUUUAUUCGCUUUAGGAUGGACUCGCGUCCAAUUAGCUAGUUGGUGAGGUAACGGCCCACCAAGGCGACGAUUGGUAGCGGGACUGAGAGGUUGAACGGCCACAUUGGGACUGAGGCACGGCCCAGACUCCGACGGGGGGCAGCAGUGGGGGAUAUUGCACAAUGGGGGAAACCCUGAUGCAGCGACGCCGCGUGGAGGAAGAAGGUUUUCGGAUUGUAAACUCCUGUCGUUAGGGACGAUAAUGACGGUACCUAACAAGAAAGCACCGGCUAACUACGUGCCAGCAGCCGCGGUAA
rnacentral:rRNA from 1 species